rnacentral:rRNA from 1 species
AUUGAACGCUGGCGGCGUGCUUAGCACAUGCAAGUCAAUCGGUAACAGGUGUAGCAAUACAUGCUGACGAGAGGCGGACGGGUGAGGAAUAUUUGGGAAUCUGCCCAUCAGCGGGGGACAACCCGGGGAAACCCGGGCUAAUACCGCAUACGCUCUACGGAGGAAAGCCGGGGACCGCAAGGCCUGGCACUGAUGGAUGAGCCCAAAUCGGAUUAGCUAGUUGGCGGGGUAACGGCCCACCAAGGCGACGAUCCGUAGCUGGUCUGAGAGGACGAUCAGCCACACCGGAACUGAGACACGGUCCGGACUCCUACGGGAGGCAGCAGUGGGGAAUAUUGGACAAUGGGGGAAACCCUGAUCCAGCGACGCCGCGUGGGUGAAGAAGGCCUGCGGGUUGUAAAGCCCUUUCGGUAGGGACGAAAGCUCUUGCUCCAACAAAGCAGGAGGUUGACUUAACCUACAUAAGAAGCACCGGCUAACUCUGUGCCAGCCGCCGCAGUAAAAC